AGUAUAUGCACAGUUUUUUCUUUGCUGAGCAAAUGCAGCGUCCUUUUGGCACUGUAUCUCCACUGCCCUAAUUCUGCAUUUCAGGUAUGUGCCAUGGAACCUUCAUGAACCAGCAAGAGGGAAGUUCGACUUCAGCCGAAACCUGGAUCUAGAGGCCUUCCUGUCACUGGCAGCUAAAAUUGGACUGUGGGUGAUUCUGCGCCCUGGACCUUAUAUCUGCUCUGAAUGGGACCUUGGCGGCCUGCCCAGUUGGCUACUGCAAGACCCAGAAAUGCAGUUGAGGACAACCUACAAGGGCUUCACCGAAGCUGUGGAUGCCUAUUUUGAUCACUUAAUGACUAUUGUAGUCCCU